AGAGUGCCUUAAGGCAAGACGGCGGUCUCCAAAAUCGCUAGGCAUGGUUCAAUUCCAUGGCGCUCUGCCA
rnacentral:tRNA from 1 species